rnacentral:lncRNA from 1 species
GGCGAGAGUUGGCUGAGCUAUGUUGUUUAUUCUGACCGCGCACCAUAGGAAGACGUUCAUCAAACAUCUUCUCCAUGGCCUCCACUAGUGAGUUUUGUAGUUGGCGUAACUCAGCCCGCGAAACUGGUGUUUCUUUUUCUCCAUAUCGACCACCAUGAACGCUCAAAUUGGAUCCUGGCAUGUUAGCACUUAUGCAAGAUAUAGUGGAAUGGGUAAAUUUGUGGAAUCACACAAUCUCACCUCUUACUUACCAAUGCUCUUUCCUGUUCUCAAGGACAGUGAAUUGUGCUAGUGUAGCGGCUCAACAGAAGUGAUUCCGAGGUCGCAAGGAUUACGAGUCGAAUGUCCUGGUUUCAGUUUUAGGUGGAGCUAUAGGUGGCUAAACAAGGGAGGCCACGGUACUGAAAAUCAAGUAAUUGGAUGUGCUCAAAAGAUAUAAUGUUGCUGAUAUAUAAAUCACCAAGAUCUGAAUAUGUAAACUAAAUUUUUCAGUGAGCAAACCGCAAUACAACCCCUCUUCUUCUACUUUUCUGUUCUUUCUCUUUUCUUUUCUCUGAAUUUUUUUCUGAUUUUUUUGAACUCUUUUUUAUACUAACAGGGGUGCGGAUAACAAAUGACACAACACAAUAUAUGUAAAGAGGGUGACUAGCAACUUGAUGAACACAAAACACAAGAUAACAGUACCGUCAAAGGGCUCUAGGAUUUUUUUGUGGCUUUUCAGUGGACUGUAGGUGAUGAACAAAACAGUAACAAACAAUAGAUAAACUAAAGGUAGAUAUGUGGAUGAUUAUGAGAUCUACCGUGACAAUGAAAGCUUUGAUACCAGUUGAUAGGUUACCGAUAUGGAUCGGUACGAGGGUGGCCCGAUCUUCACGACAGUAGAUCAAAAGAACAAGGAUAACUUGCUGCGAACAGCAGGUAACUAGCUUUAUACCUGACAAAGGUUGGAUGCGACCAAGCGACGGGGAGAGAGGCACCGAAACCACGAAGACUUCGACUUGAUCUCCGAACGACCACAGAACCACAAUCCGGAACUAAUCCACACAAUACGGCGCAGCCGAACGGAAGCCGUAGAGCACGAAGUAGGGGAACCUAGAGGAUUCACUUCACAAGUCCAAGAAGAACAAGGAAGAACAAAGGUUGAGUAAGGCACUCAGCAGCACGGCUGCAAUAUCAUGUAGUUUAUCAAAAUGAUCAAAGGUUGCUGAUAGCUUAGAGGUAUGGGAUAUUUAUACUAGAAACAACCCUCCUAGAUAGGUAUGAAAACGAAAUAGAGUUUCUGAGGGAAGGCAAUGUGAAAGGACCCCUCGGGAUGGAUUCCCGAACUGGCUUCGCGUGACUGUUGGCCUCCAGAGCAGUUUCAAAUAAACUUACCAUAACUUUUUAUUGGGAAGUCCAAAUGAUGAACCGUUUCUUGGGUGUGAAACAAGACUCCAAGAGCUUUCCAGCAAUGUAUGCCAUGCACCAUGAAACGUUGG